rnacentral:snRNA from 1 species
GUGUUUUGCUUUAGCAGCACAUAUACUAAAAUUAGCAUGGCCCCUGCACAAGAAUGGUUCAAAUUCAUGAAACAUUCCUUAUUUUA